UGAGGAAUAUUGGGCAAUGGAGGAAACUCUGACCCAGCCAUGCCGCGUGAGUGAAGAAGGUUUUCGAAUUGUAAAGCUCUUUCGGAUGUGAAGAUGAUGACGGUAACAUCUAAAGAAGCCCCGGCAAACUUCGUGCCAGCAGCCGCGGUAAUACGAAGGGGGCAAGCGUUGUUCGGAAUUACUGGGCGUAAAGGGUGUGUAGGCGGAUAAGUAAGAUAGUGGUGAAAUGCCCGAGCUCAACUUGGGAACUGCCAUUAUAACUAUUGAUCUAGAGUGACAGAGAGGAUAUUGGAAUACCCAGUGUAGAGGUGAAAUUCGUAGAUAUUGGGUAGAACACCGGAGGCGAAGGCGAGUAUCUGGCUGUCAACUGACGCUGAGGCACGAAAGCAUGGGGAUCAAACAGGAUUAGAUACCC
rnacentral:rRNA from 1 species